rnacentral:rRNA from 1 species
CACGCGGUAAACGAUGGAUGCUCGGCAUCUGGGACGAGACCCGUCCUGGGCGCCUCAGCUGACGCCAUAAGCAUCCCGCCUGGGAACUACGAGCGCAAGCUUAAAACUCAAAGGAAUUGACGGGGGCCCGCACAAGCAGCGGAGCGUGUGGUUUAAUUCGACGCAACACGCAGCACCUUACCCAGACUGGACAUGGAUCUGCAGAGUGUGGAAACGCACUCGCCUUCGAGGGAGAUCCACAGAUGC